AUGCAGCACACUGCUGGCUCAUAUUGAAAUGACAAUCCACCAGGCUACCCAGAUCCUUUUUACAGUGUCCCUACAGAAAGACACUUGGACAAGUUACUCCAUGUAUAUCUCCACUUUUGCUUUCGCUUAAAGUUCACUUAACAGAUAAUGGAGACAAAACACUCAGACAUCAAUGUGAUAGAAGGCAGGCAGGAAGAUAAAAGCAGGAUUCCUGCCAUUUACCAUAAUCUACCACCUACAGCAAAGAUGGAAUUUAUCCAGGGUUAAUCAGAGGCAGGAGAAGUCUGCAACCUCCAGU